AUGGAUCUACUGAGGAGCCCCUUCAAGGGAGUGGUCGCAGAUGUCAAAGGGAGAGCGCCUUGGUACAAGGACGACUGGCUUGCAGGCCUCCGAGCUGGCUUCGGGAUAUUGGCACCGACCAUGUACAUAUUCUUCGCCUCCGCGCUCCCUGUCAUCGCCUUCGGAGAGCAGCUCAGCAACGAAACAAAUGGUAUUCUCAGCACAGUUGAAACUUUGGCAUCUACGGCGAUAUGUGGGAUAAUACACGCGAUUCUUGGAGGGCAGCCAAUGAUGAUCGUUGGAGUCGCGGAGCCUACUAUUAUCAUGUAUACGUAUCUCUACAACUUUGCCAAGAAGCAGCCAGGUCUAGGAGAACGGCUAUAUUUGGCUUGGGCUGGAUGGGUCUGCAUUUGGACUGCUAUCAUGCUGUUUCUCUUGGCAAUGUUCAAUGCUUCCAAUGUUAUAAGCAGAUUCACGAGGGUUGCAGGAGAACUUUUCGGGAUGUUGAUCACCGUUCUCUUCCUGCAAGAAGCUAUCAAGGGAAUCGUGAGUGAGUUCAGUAUGCCAAAAGAUGCUGAGAUCUCUGACCGCGGUUCGCCGAUUUACCAGUUCCAGUGGAUAUAUGUCAAUGGCCUACUUGGUGUUAUUUUCUCAAUUGGUUUGCUAUACAGUGCACUCAAGACUAGGCGGGCAAGGUCAUGGUUGUAUGGCAUAGGAUGUGUUAGGAGCUUCAUUGCUGAUUAUGGUGUCCCACUCAUGGUGAUCGUGUGGACGGCAUUUUCGUACACACUACCGGGCGGUGUCCCUUCAGGAGUGCCUAGGAGGCUCUUCAGUCCACUUCCCUGGGAAUCAAGCUCACUGGGGCAUUGGACCGUAGCAAAGGAUUUGUUUUCCGUCCCUCCGGCAUACAUAUUUGCAGCCAUCGUGCCUGCUUUGAUGGUUGCAGGACUUUACUUCUUUGAUCAUAGUGUAGCUUCACAGUUGGCUCAGCAACAAGAGUUCAAUUUGAAGAAACCUUCUGCCUACCAUUACGAUAUUUUGUUACUUGGAUUUAUGGUCCUGCUAUGUGGUUUGAUUGGCAUUCCUCCAGCAAAUGGAGUACUUCCUCAAUCCCCCAUGCAUACAAGAAGCCUUGCUGUCCUCAAGGGGCAGCUGAUGCGCAAAAGGAUGCUUCGAACUGCCAAAGAGGGCAUGUCGAACCGUGCAAGCAGUUUGGAAAUCUAUGGCAAGAUGCAUGAAGUGUUCAUCGAAAUGGAUAACAAACAGGAUGCUGAUUCUGUUGACAAGGACUUGAAGAGCUUGAAGGAUGCUGUGCUGCGUGAAGGCGACGAGGAUGGAAAAUUGGCUGGAGAAUUUGAUCCAAGAAAGCAUAUCGAAGCACAUUUGCCCGUUCGUGUUAACGAGCAGAGACUAAGCAACCUGCUGCAAUCCUUACUGGUUGGUGGCUCCGUCGGAGCUAUGCCGGUUAUCAAGAUGAUACCAACCUCGGUCCUCUGGGGUUACUUUGCCUACAUGGCCAUUGAUAGCCUACCAGGGAACCAGUUUUGGGAAAGGAUACAAUUUUUGUGCAUUGGAGCAAGCCGGCGCUACAAGGUCUUGGUAGGUCCCCAUGCAUCAUUCGUGGAGUUAGUGUCUCCGAGAACGAUAUAUGUCUUUACCAUCUUCCAGAUUGUGUAUUUCUUGAUAUGCUUCGGCACAACAUGGAUACCGAUAGCGGGGAUCCUCUUCCCGCUGCCUUUCUUCCUUAUGAUUCUCAUCAGGCAGUACCUACUCCCCAAGUUCUUUGAGCCCAAUGACUUGCGGGAACUGGAUGCGGCGGAGUACGAAGAACUUGAAGGGGUCCAACAUGAACACACACUGGAGGAAGAUGGCUCUAUCUCAGGAAGCUGCGACAGCAGGAUCGACGCUGAAAUAUUGGAUGAACUGACAACACACCGUGGGGAGCUGAAGCACAGGGUUGUAAGCCAUCGUGAAGAAAGGCACCUUCAGGUUCACUCAAACGCCAUUCAACCAAGCGUCUGA
rnacentral:rRNA from 1 species